rnacentral:rRNA from 1 species
GACGAACGCUGGCGGCGUGCCUAACACAUGCAAGUCGAACGAAGAAUGUUUUUCGGAAUAUUCUUAGUGGCGGACGGGUGAGUAACGCGUGAACAAUCUGCCCCGUACAAAGGGAUAGCCUCGGGAAACCGGGAUUAAAACCAUAUAACACUUAACUGCCGCAUGGUAGUGAAGUCAAAUCGAUUAAGAGGUAUGGGAUGAGUUCGCGUCUGAUUAGUUAGUUGGUGAGGUAACGGCUCACCUAGGCAAUGAUAGGUAGGCGGCCUUAACGGGUGGUCGCCCACACUGGGAUUGAGAUACGGCCCAGACUCCUACGGGAGGCAGCAGUCGAGAAUAGUCUACAAUGGUCGGAAGACUGAUAGUGCGACGCCGCGUGAACGAUGAAUCCCUUCGGGUGUAAAGUUCUUUUAUAUGUGAGCAGUGCUUCUUAUAUUAACAGUAUGGGGAGAGAGAUAUUAGCAUAUGAAUAAGCAACGGCUAACUCCGUGCCAGCAGCCGCGGU